rnacentral:rRNA from 1 species
CCUACGGGAGGCAGCAGUGAGGAAUAUUGGUCAAUGGGCGGGAGCCUGAACCAGCCAAGCCGCGUGAGGGAAGAAGGUACAGCGUAUCGUAAACCUCUUUUGUCAGGGAACAAAGGCGGGGACUAGUCCCCGGAUGAGGGUACCUGAAGAAAAAGCAUCGGCUAACGCCGUGCCAGCAGCCGCGGUAAUACGGAGGAUGCGAGCGUUAUCCGGAUUUAUUGGGUUUAAAGGGUGCGCAGGCGGCCUGUUAAGUCAGCGGUAAAAGGCCGGGGCUAAACCCCGGCGAGCCGGUGAAACUGGCGGGCUGGAGUUGGAGAGAAGUACGCGGAAUGCGCGGUGGAGCGGUGAAAUGCUUAGAUAUCGCGCAGAACCCCGAUUGCGAAGGCAGCGUACCGGCUCCACACUGACGCUGAGGCACGAAAGCGUGGGUAUCGAACAGGAUUAGAUACCCGAGUAGGC